UACGUAGGGUGCAAGCGUUAUCCGGAAUUAUUGGGCGUAAAGAGCGUGUAGGCGGCCAGGUAGGUCAGCUGUGAAAACUCGAGGCUCAACCUCGAGAUGUCGGCUGAAACCAUCUGGCUAGAGUCCGGAAGAGGAGAAUGGAAUUCCCGGUGUAGCGGUGAAAUGCGCAGAUAUCGGGAAGAACACCCGUGGCGAAGGCGGUUCUCUGGGACGGUACUGACGCUGAGACGCGAAAGCGUGGGGAGCGAACAGG
rnacentral:rRNA from 1 species